GAUGAAGAACGCAGCGAAAUGCGAUACGUAAUGUGAAUUGCAGAAUUCAGUGAAUCAUCGAAUCUUUGAACGCACAUUGCGCCCGCCAGUAUUCUGGCGGGCAUGCCUGUUCGAGCGUCAUUUCAACCAUCAAGCCCCCGGCUUGUGUUGGGGACCUGCGGCUGCCGCAGGCCCUGAAAACCAGUGGCGGGCUCGCUGUCACACCGAGCGUAGUAGAUUUUCAUCUCGCUCAGGGCGUGCUGCGGGUUCCGGCCGUAAAAAGCCUUAUUUACCCAAGGUUGACCUCGGAUCAGGUAGGAAGACCCGCUGAACUUAAGCAUAUCAAUAAGCGGAGGA
rnacentral:misc_RNA from 1 species